rnacentral:rRNA from 1 species
UACAGAGGGUGCAAGCGUUUAAUCGGAAUUACUGGGCGUAAAGCGUGCGUAGACGGUUAUUUAAGUCAGGUGUGAAAGCCCCCGGGCUCAACCUGGGAAUUGCAUUUGAGACUGAAUAGCUAGGGUGCGGAAGAGGGAAGCGGAAUUUCCGGUGUAGCGGUGAAAUGCGUAGAUAUCGGAAGGAACACCAGUGGCGAAAGCGGCUUCCUGGUCCAGCACCGACGUCAGGCACGAAAGCGUGGGGGAGCAAACAGG